rnacentral:tRNA from 2 species
CGGUAUGUAGCGCAGCUUGGUAGCGCACUGCUCUGGGGGAGCAGGGGUCACAGGUUCGAAUCCUGUCAUACCGACCA